rnacentral:rRNA from 1 species
AGAGCGAACGCUGGCGGCAGGCCUAAUACAUGCAAGUCGAACGGACCCUUCGGGGUUAGUGGCGGACGGGUGAGUAACACGUGGGAACGUGCCCUUUGGUUCGGAACAACUCAGGGAAACUUGAGCUAAUACCGAAUGUGCCCUUCGGGGGAAAGAUUUAUCGCCAUUGGAGCGGCCCGCGUCUGAUUAGCUAGUUGGUGAGGUAAAGGCUCACCAAGGCUACGAUCAGUAGCUGGUCUGAGAGGAUGAUCAGCCACACUGGGACUGAGACACGGCCCAGACUCCUACGGGAGGCAGCAGUAGGGAAUCUUGCGCAAUGGGCGAAAGCCUGACGCAGCCAUGCCGCGUGAAUGAUGAAGGUCUUAGGAUUGUAAAAUUCUUUCAGCGGGGACAUAAUGACGGUACCCGCAGAAGAACGCCCCGGCUAACUUCGUGCCAGCAGCCGC